AUUGAAUGCUGGCGGCAGGCCUAACACAUGCAAGUCGAACGGUAACAGGAAGCAGCUUGCUGCUUUGCUGACGAGUGGCGGACGGGUGAGUAAUGUCUGGGAAACUGCCCGAUGGAGGGGGAUAACUACUGGAAACGGUAGCUAAUACCGCAUAACGUCGCAAGACCAAAGAGGGGGACCUUAGGGCCUCUUGCCAUCGGAUGUGCCCAGAUGGGAUUAGCUAGUAGGUGGGGUAACGGCUCACCUAGGCGACGAUCCCUAGCUGGUCUGAGAGGAUGACCAGCCACACUGGAACUGAGACACGGUCCAGACUCCUACGGGAGGCAGCAGUGGGGAAUAUUGCACAAUGGGCGCAAGCCUGAUGCAGCCAUGCCGCGUGUAUGAAGAAGGCCUUCGGGUUGUAAAGUACUUUCAGCGGGGAGGAAGGGAGUAAAGUUAAUACCUUUGCUCAUUGACGUUACCCGCAGAAGAAACACCGGCUAACUCCGU
rnacentral:rRNA from 1 species